rnacentral:rRNA from 1 species
UGGGGAAUAUUGGACAAUGGGCGAAAGCCUGAUCCAGCGACGCCGCGUGAGUGAUGAAGGCCUUCGGGUUGUAAAGCUCUGUUGAGGGAGAAGAAAACAGUUAGAACUAAUAUGUCUAGCUCUUGACGGUAUCCCUUUAGAAAGCACCGGCUAACUCUGUGCCAGCAGCCGCGGUAAUACGAAGGGGGCUAGCGUUGCUCGGAAUCACUGGGCGUAAAGGGCGCGUAGGCGGACGUUUAAGUCAGGGGUGAAAUCCCGGGGCUCAACCUCGGGAUUGCCUUUGAUACUGGAUGUCUCGAGACCGGAAGAGGUAAGUGGAACUGCGAGUGUAGAGGUGAAAUUCGUAGAUAUUCGCAAGAACACCAGUGGCGAAGGCGGCUUACUGGUCCGGUUCUGACGCUGAGGCGCGAAAGCGUGGGGAGCGAA